rnacentral:rRNA from 1 species
AUUGAACGCUGGCGGCAGGCUUAACACAUGCAAGUCGAGCGGAGAUGAGGUGCUUGCACCUUAUCUUAGCGGCGGACGGGUGAGUAAUGCUUAGGAAUCUGCCUAUUUGUGGGGGACAACAUUCCGAAAGGAAUGCUAAUACCGCAUACGCCCUACGGGGGAAAGCAGGGGAUCUUCGGACCUUGCGCUAAUAGAUGAGCCUAAGUCGGAUUAGCUAGUUGGUGGGGUAAAGGCCUACCAAGGCGACGAUCUGUAGCGGGUCUGAGAGGAUGCUCCGCCACACUGGGACUGAGACACGGCCCAGACUCCUACGGGAGGCAGCAGUGGGGAAUAUUGGACAAUGGGCGGAAGCCUGAUCCAGCCAUGCCGCGUGUGUGAAGAAGGCCUUUUGGUUGUAAAGCACUUUAAGCGAGGAGGAGGCUACCUGGAUUAAUACUCUAGGAUAGUGGACGUUACUCGCAGAAUAAGCACCGGCUAACUCUGUGCCAGCAGCCGCCGUAACAC